AUUGAACGCUGGCGGCAGGCCUAACACAUGCAAGUCGAGCGAGCGUCGGACGGGUGAGUAAUGUAUGGGGACUGCUCGAUAGAGGGGGAUAACUACUGGAAACGGUAGCUAAUACCGCAUACUAUCGGAUAACCCAUAUGGGAUUAGCUAGUAGGUGAGGUAAUGGCUCACCUAGGCGACGAUCCCUAGCUGGUCUGAGAGGAUGAUCAGCCAAACUGGGACUGAGACACGGCCCAGACUCCUACGGAGGCAGAAGUGGGGAAUAUUGGACAAUGGGCGAAAACCUGAUGCAGCCAUGCAGCGGGUAUGAAGAAGGCCCUAGGGUUGUAAAGUACUUUCAGUCGGGAGGCGUUACCGACAGAAGAAGCACCGGCUAACGCCGUGCCAGCAGCCGCGGUAAUUC
rnacentral:rRNA from 1 species